rnacentral:rRNA from 1 species
AAUUUUGGACAAUGGGGGAAACCCUGAUCCAGCCAUCCCGCGUGUAUUAUGAAGGCCUUCGGGGUGUAAAGUACUUUUGGCAGAGAAGAAAAGGUACUUCCUAAUACGAUGUACUGCUGACGGUAUCAGUAGAGUAAGCACCGGCCAACUAUGUGCCAGCAGCCGCGGUAAUACGUAGGGUGCAAGCGUUAAUCGGAAUUACUGGGCGUAAAACGUGUGUAGGCGGUUCGGAAAGAAAGAUGUGAAAACCCAGGGCUCAACAUUGGAACUGCAUUUUUAACUGCCGAGCUAGAGUAUGUCAGAGGGGGGUAGAAUUCCACGUGUAGCAGUGAAAUGCGUAGAUAUGUGGAGGAAUACCGAUGGCGAAGGCAGCCCCCUGGGAUAAUACUGACGCUCAGACACGAAAGCGUGGGGAGCAAACAG